GGAGGAGUGGCUGAGAGGUUGAAGGCACCGCAUUCGAAACGCGGCAUGGGGUAAAACUCAUCGAGGGUUCAAAUCCCUCCUCCUCCG
rnacentral:tRNA from 1 species